rnacentral:lncRNA from 1 species
AUGGUAAGUAUUAAGGCUACUCCUUUGGAGACCUUGUAUAGAUGAAAUGUUAAACAUCUGUUGUUAGGACAAUGAAUUGGUAAGUCCAAUAUUCAGGAUCUGAAAGUUGCAUUGGAAACAACAAAUAAGAUCAUACAAAUUCCUAAUCAUCUGUAAGAUGCCAUUAUUAGGCAGAAAAUACUUCCUUUAUUUCAGUAAAUCUCGGGUCGAGAUUUAUUUUAAGGGGGUGAGGAUGUAACACCUCGAAAUUUUGUGACCAAUAAUGUGUUGACACGUGUCAUGAGUUUACACGUGGUAUUAAAUGCUAAAUAAAGGACUAAAGUUGACAAACCUUGAAAGUAUGUAAAUUCGAGGGUUAUAAAUGUCAACGAAGGGUAAAUGUACUGUAUAGUAACCCUAAAUGAUGCUCGUACCUUCAAACGAAUAAAUCAUUGAUCAUACGAAGCUAAAAGUGAGAGAUUACAAACUACAGGGGUUAAAUGUGUCAACAUGUUUAAAGUUACACCUAUGAGUGACCUUUUAACAAACCCGAAGCUUUGUAAAAGUAAAUUAUGCUCACUACAAUGCACGAUUCAAAUUUCAUAAAGUUUCGUUGUCGUAUAAGAAAGUUAUGAUCAAAUUCGUAUGUGAGGGGUUAAAAGCGUCAACGUCGAAAGUUAUGACUUUUCGGACAACAAUAAAGUUAACCGAGGUCUUAACAAAGUAGGUACAAAUCUUUAAGCCCUUCUGAGUAAAUAAGAAGGGGCCAAAUUGCAAGAAAUAAGCUUCGUUGCCCUUUCGAAGAGCCAAGGGACAAGGAUGUGAAAAUUAAAAAAAUAUAAAAUCAGAUCAGAAGGGCCAGGCGGCCCGCGUAAAACUUGGCUAAAAACUCAGGCGGGCCGCGUCAGGCGCCUAGAUGCAGAAACAUGUUUAACUCGCCUGUGCAGCCUUCUAAACGACAUGUAAAGCCUUUAAAGCCUUCCAAGAGGCCCCUAAUCAACCCCUAAACACUAGGGACACAUGUUGAUGAGUUGUGGUGAGUGCUAGACCUUGUUGUCAACCAAUUAUGGUGAGUGAAUUCACUAUAAAAGGCCACAAGUGUUCAAACAAUCUCACACACCUUCAUCUGCAUUUGUGGAGCACUUCUGGAGCUCAAGCUUCCUCCCAAGUGAUCCCUGGUCGUUCAUAGGACCCUUGUAAGUUUGCCUAACCCUUUUUAAUUGAGCUUUAGCUUAGUUUUAGCUUAAAAGUCAAACCGUCGUAACUAACGGUUGACUUUACGAUUAAUCACAAAUGGUCCAGUGAUUAGUCGAAUCGAAAGUAGUUAUAAGUUGGUGUUUAUGUGGGUAAUAAACCCUUAAGAGGGUUCCCCCUGAACACCACUCUAACUAGUUCAAAUGUCGAGUCAAACGUGCACUUAAAAAGUCAACAGAAAGCCAUUUUGCGAUUUUAUACAUAAUUUGUAAUGUAGGUGAUGUGUAACAUGUUUUGAUGUUCAUAAAACAUGAUAAUAAGUAUAUAAACUAGUCUAAGCUCGUUAGAUCCGACCAUUUAUUGUCUUGACCCGGUUCGGAACCGAAAGUCGCAAAAGUUUGACUUUUGCGAUGACUUCAGUUCUGACCCGUUAAAGUUUGAUUUGGAGAUGCCUUAGAGCUUCCUUAGGACCAGGCUACAUGUUAGCAUAACCCUCUGUGGUUGGUUCAUUGAUUGACCCAUUCGUUUACGCGUUUCCGUUAAUUGCUCAUAUGUUGACCAUUAUGCCCUUAUUACCUUAAAACGUGAUUUAUGAAAAUGUAAAAGUGUAGAAACCUUAGUUACUGAUAUAUAAACUUGUAUGCAAAGUUUGACAUCAGUUUGAGGUGUAGAUUGAGAGUUAUGCUCAUCAGCGUAAAUUGAAGGCUUUAUGUUAAUUAAACGGUGUAACUAGCGUAUAGCCUCGUUAAGCCUACUUUUUGAUAUCAAACCUAUUACCCACUGAUCUAAUAUAUUAUUUUGGGAUUUUUAAAGAUUUUUCAUUAAUUUUAGGCUGAGCAUAACCUAUAGUCGUAGGCUUAAUCCGGUAAUUGUCGGUUUUGCCCUUACGGGCCAUAAAAUGAGUUUUACAUAUCUAAACGACUCCAAACCUUUUGCUACUGAUCACUUAUGAUAAAUGAAUUAUUUUAAGCCUUCUGGAAAUAUAAAAAUAUCAGAUUUAAGUAUCGAACCCGGAAAUGACCUUUCAUCGCCUUUUUAAGCGUUUUUAACGCAUAGUAUGUACCUAAACUAUUUUAAACAUACAAGGGUUGAUACCUACUGAUAUUUGAGACAAAUUAUAAUAAUUUAACAGUAAGCAAAGGUUGAUAAACUUAGACUUCAGUUUUGAGCUUUACAGCUUAUGUGAAAUUACCAAAAUGCCCCUUCGGUGCAUAGUUUGGUUAUAAUUGAUAAAUUUCACAUAUAUACUUUAUCCUACUGUUAUAACGUAUCAAAAUAAGUAUUUUCGCUGAUUAUACCAGACCUGUAACUCAGGUAAAUACUUAAACUCUUUUAUAACCUUUUAAAUGACCAAGCUACCCCUACGAGGCCUAGUUUGUGUUUAAAUACGUUUUGGGCAUAAUGAAAGACAUCUUACUGAUGUCACAACAUAUUUGAGGCAUAAUUAACUUAGAAAACCUGUAUAUGACUCUCAUGAUUACCCGUUAUGCUUAUUACGCGUUUGGUUCGGUUUAUGUAACAAGUUUACAUAAAUUCGCCGAAACGGGUCAAACGUUAUCAUUUUUAUCUCAAAAUCCAGAGUGUGUUUAGUUUACCCAUAUUAUACAAGUCUCCAAACUUGUCGGGUCUAAAUCACAUCCUAUUCCGGUCUUCGCUUAAUCAUGCGUUUUGAACCGUAAACCUUUCCUUAAAACUAACCGGUCUAAGUUACGACUUAAAUAAGACCCGUUAGAAAUUUAAUAGGUUAAUAAAACCUUCGUUCCAGAUUGAGAGCCCCAGUAGAAGUACUUGUGCUUGCUGAUUAGAAUAUACGGCUGAGUAUAAAUUGCAUUGCUAGCUCAGGUAAAUACUCUUAACUUAUUUUCCCUUAUACGGGCUUGGGAUACGGUAUUAUAAAAUUACCGCUUGGUCGGGUGUAGAAACCUUUUAAUCGGAGAUGAUUAAAUUGCAUAAUCCCGUUUUAAUCUGUAUUGAUUGAUAACAAAUAACAUUGGGGGUUAAUGACCGUGUCCUGGAUAUCCUUGGCUCAUUUUAAAAAGUGAAUGGCCACGACGUAGGCACAAGGUGUAGGCAAAACACCUCCUGUUGCAUAUGUAUAACGUAUACUCACUCGUAAGGGUAUCUUCUUGUGAGAUUAUAUUUGUGGGGUGUCGAUUAAUCUUGUACGGCUUGUAUUGUAUAAUCACCGGCCCUAAAUGUUGGACAACCAUGUAAAUCGGAUACAAGAUUUUUAUUAAUAAAAUUGUCCCAAGUAUAAAAGAUUAAUUUUGCCUCUGUGCAUUUUAAUCAAUGUGUCAAGAUAUUUUGUGCCGUUUGCACUCGAAUAACUUUUCAAACUCUUUUUCCAAAAUGAGUCAGUUAAUUGUAUUUACCAGUGUAAACUGACGUAUUUUCCAAAAGGUUAAGUGACAGGUACUAUGCGUAAUUGGCUGGGAGCUCAGGGCGUCACUAGGGAAUCUUGCAAGUUCUAGAUGCCUAAAGUCUGUUGAACAGUUUUCUUUUAUUGAUCCGCCUGUGGAUCCUUUACCUUCCGUUGUAAUACUUUGACAUUACUUAUACACGGAAUGUAAUAUAUUUAUCCUUUGCU